AGUACGAAAGGACCAUAUGAUUGAAAUAAUUUUNNUUAAUUAUGAUUAAUAUUAAUUUAAUUUANU
rnacentral:rRNA from 1 species